GACGAACGCUGGCGGCGUGCCUAAUACAUGCAAGUAGAACGCUGAAGGAGGAGCUUGCUUCUCUGGAUGAGUUGCGAACGGGUGAGUAACGCGUAGGUAACCUGCCUGGUAGCGGGGGAUAACUAUUGGAAACGAUAGCUAAUACCGCAUAAGAGUAGAUGUUGCAUGACAUUUGCUUAAAAGGUGCAAUUGCAUCACUACCAGAUGGACCUGCGUUGUAUUAGCUAGUUGGUGAGGUAACGGCUCACCAAGGCGACGAUACAUAGCCGACCUGAGAGGGGGAUCGGCCACACUGGGACUGAGACACGGCCCAGACUCCUACGGGAGGCAGCAGUAGGGAAUCUUCGGCAAUGGACGGAAGUCUGACCGAGCAACGCCGCGUGAGUGAAGAAGGUUUUCGGAUCGUAAAGCUCUGUUGUAAGAGAAGAACGAGUGUGAGAGUGGAAAGUUCACACUGUGACGGUAUCUUACCAGAAAGGGACGGCUAACUACGUG
rnacentral:rRNA from 1 species